UACAGAGGGGGCAAGCGUUAUUCGGAAUUAUUGGGCGUAAAGCGCGUGUAGGCGGCCCGGUAAGUCCGCUGUGAAAGUCGGGGGCUCAACCCUCGAAUGCCGGUGGAUACUGUCGGGCUAGAGUGCGGGAGAGGCGAGUGGAAUUCCUGGUGUAGCGGUGAAAUGCGCAGAUAUCAGGAGGAACACCAAUUGCGAAGGCAGCUCGCUGAACGUAACUGACGCUGAGGCGCGAAAGCGUGGGGAGCAAACAGG
rnacentral:rRNA from 1 species